CGGAUAUCUCAUGCAGCUUCGUGUGGGGCUUCUUCGGGGCAGCUCCUAGAAUCCAGGGACUGAAGACAUACUUCCUCCUUCUGUCAGAGAUGGAGGUUGCUGUCCAGAAGAGCCCUGAGAAAUAGGUCAGGCGCGGCCAUGUCUUUUGAAGGACAGGGCUGUCACCUGCUGUUUGACCGGGGACCAGGACUCGGACCUCUCUGGACUCUGCAAUCACGAGCUGCUCUCACAGUAACAAGUGGGGGCUGUGGCUGUCUUGGACGGUUAACUCGAGUCAUGAUGAGUUAUGCAGAGACAGACAGCUGGCCGGGAGAGGCGCCCUGACAGAUGAGCAUACACGUGGCUGUACCAGAGAACAUAACGAACACGUGAACAUAACAUACUUCUCUAGGGGCCUCGCUAUCAGGCAGCUGUUUGGCAUGAAACUCAAACUGAUUUGAGUGCCAAAUCUUUCCCCAUUCUUGCUGGAAAUCUCUUUAAACGAUUGUAUUACAUAUUUCCCUGGGCUCUGUUAACAGCCUUACGUGAGCUGAACAUCAGUUCCACUUCUUUAUUGGCGGGGGUAAAAAUUGUCUUUCAUUGUAAGCGUUUACAAAAUGAUAUUUCACAUACUGAAACGCACCGCAGUGUAAACUGGGUUAUUUACAGCAUCUCAGGCUAACAGCUGGGUGAUGGCGGACACGAGUUCAGCGUUGUGGAACAGCAGCCCCUUUUAGUCCUCUCACUGGAUGUCUGUGACCUUACUGACAACCCCUACUUGGCACUGGAGGAAGAAAACCUCUUGAAUUUAAAGUUAAGAAUGAAAGGACCAGCCCAGCUGCCCACAGAUAUCUUGGGCCUGGUGUCUGUACCCUGGGACCUGCUGGCCGCUGGCCCCUGGCAGCAUCCUCGGUGGCUUUGGUGUUGGAGGACAAGCACACACACACACAGUUCUCACGCUUGGCCUGGACGUUUCCAGCUGGGGAGCUUCCCUGAUGGGAUGGGGUGAUGGGGCAUUAAGGUAAGGAGGCUGCAAAAAAGCUGAGGGACAACAGGGGCAGGAGGGAGCGUCUGGAGUCUCCUAGGCAAGACAGUUUUCUGCGCUUUCAACUUUAUUUGUGAGACAAGGGGCAAGUCACCUGUGGCUCUUCUGAGGAGGGGUCGUGGCAUCAGGCACGAGGGCAGAAACUAUGUCCACUUGGCCCACCGGUAACACAGCCCAGAGAAGGGUCUCUGGGUUGUUCCACAAAGAUGCUGAAGAGGGUGCUGUGGACACUUCCGCUUAGCACUAACAGCCUGGGCAACAGAGACAGAGCGGAGCCCAGGGACACGGGCCACACAGCCGGCAGGUGGGGAGGGACCACAGGUGGGGAUGGGGCAGAGAGGUUCCCCAAGGAUUCAGCCCUGAGCGGAGCCUGCGCUCUUCUCUCCUGAAGUGCCUGGGUUUUUCCUUCCUGAUGUUCCUCAGCACCGGAGUCAAUGUCUCUCCUUGUCAUGGCGAUGAGGGUGGGCCCAGGAAGCUGCUGCCGGAGGCCUCUGUCCCCCAGUCCCACUUCCCCACAUGCCCUCCUGCUUUGUGGGUGGCUGCCCUGUCGGGAUCAGUGGUGUGGUCUCACCCACCGGACACCAUUUCAGCUUCUUUGGAUGACUCUGGGUCACUAUUAGAAGGCUUGGCUUUGUGAAACAGUUUCAGAAGUCGAGGUUUUGGGUUUUUUUUUUUGCUUGUUCUCUUAAAUGACGUUCAGUUCUGACCCCAGAGGUUAGGGCAGCAUGAGUGAAAUGGUAACAAAUCCUUUCCCCUUCUGCAGAAUUUGACAUCUGGUUACCCUUCUAGUUCUGUUUCCUUGGAAACCAGAUAAAAAUGGAAUGUCAGCCAUUUCAAGGCAACAGUGCUUAUGAUAAAAAUGACCCCUAGUUGUAAAUCACCUGGUCUAGGAGUGCUGUGCAGAGACUGUAAAUAGCCCUCCUGCAGGGCUUCCUGAGCACAGGGACCCAGUAGGCACGUCCCUGACGGGGACCUGGAAGCUGUGCCGAUGGCACUAGGGAGUUACUGGCUGCCCUGUGGCACGAUGCUUCUAAACCAGGGUGAACCCCACUUCUCCCUAACAUGUCUUAUCCCCUUGCACCUGAGCUGUCACCUGGGCAACAAAGAAUGGUCGUGGAUGACUGUGGGCUCUGCAAGGACUGCUCCACCGGAAAGGCCUGCUUCAUGCUGGCAGGGUGUCUGGUCUGUCUGCAGCGUGAGCGCCACCCCCAGUGUAGCCUGUGGGAGUCGAGUCUGCAUGGUUAGCAGGACCCAAGACAAAGGCUGCCUGGUGGGUGUGGCAGGCAGUAUGCUGUCUCGCACCCCUCAUUAGCUGUGGCGUUUGGGGCAAGUGUUAUAACUUCACCUCUCUAAGCUUUAGUUUCCUCAUCUUUAAAAUGGGGGAACAUGGUGGUUAUCUCUGAGAGCUGUAAGCGAGGGUUAAGCGAGCUAACGUCCACAAACGACUUAGCACCAAGAAGCCCUUAACGAGUGUUCCCUGGAAAGGUGAGUGUGCCUGCUGACGAGGGACAGGGUGGGUGGGAGCCAUUUUGCUCCACAAGCCCGGCCGGGCAGCACACCUGGCCUGCCUGCAUACGCUGGCGUCACCUUUACAUCCAGAAGUUUGUCGCCAGGGUCCAAUAAGGCCCCCUUUGGGAGUACCCUGAAUAAAGAGCACAGCUCACAGGACACAGGUCCAGGAGUCUGUGGAAAAUGGGCUGCUUCUAGUUCGGCAGCCCCGACCCUGACUGCUUCACGGGGCCCAUGAUUAGAACCUCACAGUGGCCAAGUGGAGAACACCACGUUGGAACUAGUCGCUGGUGAGGGCUGGCAGGAUCCUCAGAGGUCUCCUCGUCGAACCCCCCAUAGCCAGACGGGCCCACAGGAGGGAACUGACCCACCUGAAGCAUCACAUACAGCAGCUGCGCUGGCUGGAACCUCGGCCCUGGCCCUGGAGUCAGAUUCCUGGGCUUUAAAUGCCUACUUUGGCAGUUCCUGGCUAUUUGAUCAGAGCUUAAGUUUCCUCAUCUAUAAAGUGGGCCUGUUGUGAAGAUUAUAUGAGAUCGUUCUAAUUCAGAUGGCGCAGCUGGUGGGGCACACAGCAACGUGUUAGUCAUUAUCAGGUUACAUUGCACUGUGCUGCUGCCCCACACCUUCUCCUGGGGCCCUUUAUAAACAGGGAAGUGAGGUUCUGGACUGGAGCACUGGCCCCUGGACGGCGCAGGAGGUGCCCUGCAGGCUGGCCUGCAUCUCUCCUCACCCCUGCCACUGAGGCUCCUUGGAGCUGUUGACCCGAAUACUGCCCUUCCUGCUCGGCCUUCCUGUGGCUGCUUCCUCCACACUGCUGUCUGGCUGCACCAGAGCACAAAGCCCUUUGAGGGCAGAGAAUGGACCUCAUACCGUCUCCCCAGGGGCUAUGCCAUGCUGGGGCCCCAGUGGGCACGUGGCAGACAGCCUGUUCUCUAGGGAUUGCUGGAGUCACGAGAACUCAGGGAGCAUCUUGUCCAAGUUUCCUCAUAGAUAAAAACGAGGAGCAAAGACCAAGACAAGGGGAGUGGCCUGCCCUUCGGAGGCACGCUGAUUAUCUGUUGACUGAUUACAAAGACACUGGCAUCUAUAUUGUUUUUUAUUUAUAAACAAAUUGACAUAAAAUAAGUCCAGAUGGCAGCGG